CAUUACAGAUGGUUGGGAGCCACCAUGUGGUUGCUGGGAAUUGAACUCAGGACCUCUGGAAGAACAGGCAGUGUCAUCUCUCCAGACCUACCAAUGAGAAAUCUUAUUCCAACAAAGUGUGGCCCUCCUGUAACAUGUUCAGUUGAAGGCUCUGACCUUCCAGGACAGAGGACGGCCAUUUCUUAGUUCAAGGCCAAUGAAAAGGGCAGUUUGGUCCAAAGGACGGAGUUAUGAUUGGGAAGACGGAGCUGAGGAAUGCGCGGUCCAUUUAAAGCCUGGAAGGAGCCGCUGGUGACCUGUUUACGCGUUCUCCAUUCUCGGUCUUCUCUUGUGGUUACUGCACGGACUCUGCUUGAUAACAAACUGUAAAGUAAUCCUUUGACUCCCUUUAUCAUCUGGCGCCCAUCUGAACCGGCUGCUUGCGCCCAGCCUCCUGCCCCAUGGCGGUGGUGAGGCUGUCCGCCGGCGCACACACGCCCCCGAGGCCGCCCCAGCGCUUUCCGAGCACCAGCCCCUCGGCUCCGGAGCUCCGGCCCGGCACCCCGGAGCUUCCCGCCCCUUCCCCAGCGCUCCUCGGUCACGCACGGUUCUGCAACGUCCUAGGGGCGGGAAAAGUCCGGAUCGCGUUCACGAGAGCUCUGGCAGGAGGAAGGUAGCGCUCGCGGCUGAACUCCCUCCCCAUCGCGCCGGAGGCAUUCCGUGGUCGCAUCAGCCCCAGCCCGGAGGUCGCGCGCGUGGCCCCACCCGGCUCACAGCGGCUUGUGGCGCCCGCGUUCCAUAGUCUCGGAGCUGCCUUCCGCCUGGGUCUUCCUCGCCUUUGUUGGAGCAGCCACACACCACUCCUGAUCCCCCAGGCAGCCCUGGCACGUGCGGAGCAGUGACCCCAGCCGCUUAUAUCCCGCCCCACUCGGAGCUUCCUACAGGCUCGGCUCCGGCUAGGUUUAGCAGCCGGCCCACCCGGCACUCAGCCUGAGGCUCUCUGGCUAACACAACGUUGUUGAUUGUAGUUUCAAUUCUGGUUAGAAAUACAGGUCUGUUAAAUUCGGGGACCCCCAAAGCCUUGGCGCCACACCUACGACAUCUGCUGGCCAAACAUCGUUAUAACAGCCUAAAAUCUUGUGCCUGCUGGUCGAUCGAGAUUAUCACACACCUACGACGAUCUUCCGUGGAUUUUAACGGAUGUAACUUUAUUUGGUAACUUUACAUUUUAGCCAGAUUAAUAAAUAAUUUUUAAAAAUUUCCACGCCAAUGGCGGGCAACAUCACUUUGCACGAAAGUAGAGGUCUGCUCUAUUUCUGCUUUUGAUAGAAUGCUAAGAAAGAUAAGCAACCCAGCUUUGAUGGGUACAUUUUUAGUUAUAAUUGUUAUUAGUCUGGUAAUUCAUAUCCUAUCCUUUAGAAGGAGGUUUGAUAACGGUGCUAAAAAUGAGAAUCUGACUAAGAUGGUCCUGACUUUGCAAUAUGGCAAUGAGAAAUUGGCUGAUAAACUACAGGCAAUUGAAAAAGGUUAUGACAAAUUAUUAGAAACAGUUCUGAAUUUAGAAAGUCGUUUGCAUACCGAACAGAUAAUCAAUAAGGAAGACAAGGCAGACUUGAGAGACAAGUUAAAAACUUUAGAGAUAUACAUGAAUGAGGAAAACAAGAAACGUAGUGAUUUAAUGAAGGCUUUGUAAGCAGUCACUAUUAAAAAGUUCAGACAUUACAAGAAGCAACCACUAAUAGAUUCCAAGCCUUAGAAGAACUUACUAAGACUGAUAAAAAAGGAAGUUCACACACACAAAGAAGUCGUAGUAAAGAAGUUAACCACAAUGGUACCUCUUAGAGUUAGCUUAGAUUCUAGUUGGUAUUAAUAAAAACCCAGAGAUAGAUACUGGGGUUAAAACUGAAGAUCAGAGAAGCAAAGCAGCCAGCCACUAGCUCUUACCACUACCUCAGACUGAAAGAAAGAUCCUAUCUCCAAAGCUCAGACUGCUCUGAGCUCCUGGCUCCUCUCACUUUAUAUUCCUCUCUAGUGCUGGGAUUAAACAUAUGGGAUCCCAAAUGCUAAAUUCACCUUUGUGUGAGCUCUGUUUCUCUUUUAGACUGGACCAAUUUCUUGUAGCCCAGGGUGGCCUUAAACUAACAGACCCCAUCUGCUUCUGUCUCCCAAGUGUUGGGAUUAAAGGUGUGUACCACCACUACUUGGUCUCUGGCUAACUAGUGUGGCUAGCUUUGCACUCUGAUCUUCAGGCAAGCUUGUUAGAUAAUCAACAAAAUAUCACCACAGUUAACUGUUUAUGAAAGGCCAGAAAAAUAACAAUUGCCCCAAAGGAUAUGCAGACUGCCAAUGGGAACCUAUACACAUAUAAAAUUUAAAAGAUGUUAGGUUUCUUUUUGUUAUUGUUUUUGUUUUUUGAGGCAGGGUUUCUCUGUGGCUUUGGAGGCUGUCCUGAAACUAGCUUUUGUAAAGCAGGCUGGUCUCGAACUCACAGAGAUCCGCCUGCCUCUGCCUCCUAAGUGCUAGGACUAAAGGCGUGCCCCACCAAUGCUUGGCAAGAAGAUAUUAGGUUUCUUACGGUGUGCAUUCUGCAUGUGUGAGGCAGUUAUUUGUUAAAUAAAUUGUCUUUUAGCAAUAGGAUCACUACAUAUUGUUGUGCCCAAAUUCUGAACACCCAAAUCACCAAGAGGCCCAUUUCGAUGAAAAAGCAAUGUGUCUUUUAUUGAAGUUGUUUAAUGAGCUAAACCCAUUAGCUCAGGCCUUUCAUCCAUCCACCAUGGCAGAUGGCUUGGGAAAGACCCCGAGAAACCACAGGACAGAGAUCUUAUAAGGCAGCAUAAGGGGAGU